GCAUAUCAUAGCGAGGAAAAGAAACCCACAGGGAUUGCCUAGUAACGGCGAGUGAAGCGGCAACAGCUCAAAUUUGAAAUCUGGCCUCGGCCCGAGUUGUAAUUUGCAGAGGAAGCUUUAGGCGCGGCACCAACUGAGUCCCCUGGAACGGGGCGCCACAGAGGGUGAGAGCCCCGUAUAGUUGGACGCCUAGCCUGUGUAAAGCUCCUUCGACGAGUCGAGUAGUUUGGGAAUGCUGCUCAAAAUGGGAGGUAAAUUUCUUCUAAAGCUAAAUACCGGCCAGAGACCGAUAGCGCACAAGUAGAGUGAUCGAAAGAUGAAAAGCACUUUGAAAAGAGGGUUAAAUAGCACGUGAAAUUGUUGAAAGGGAAGCGCUUGUGACCAGACUUGCGCCCGGCUGAUCAUCCGGUGUUCUCACCGGUGCACUCUGCCGGGCUCAGGCCAGCAUCGGUUCUCGCGGGGGGAUAAAGGUCCUGGGAACGUAGCUCCUCCGGGAGUGUUAUAGCCCAGGGCGUCAUGCCCUCGCGGGGACCGAGGUUCGCGCAUCUGCAAGGAUGCUGGCGUAAUGGUCAUCAGCGACCCGUCUUGAAACACGGACCAAGGAGUCAAGGUUUUGCGCGAGUGUUUGGGUGUAAAACCCGCACGCGUAAUGAAAGUGAACGUAGGUGAGAGCUUCGGCGCAUCAUCGACCGAUCCUGAUGUUUUCGGAUGGAUUUGAGUAGGAGCGUUAAGCCUUGGACCCGAAAGAUGGUGAACUAUGCUUGGAUAGGGUGAAGCCAGAGGAAACUCUGGUGGAGGCUCGCAGCGGUUCUGACGUGCAAAUCGAUCGUCAAAUCUGAGCAU
rnacentral:rRNA from 1 species